UGGCUCAGAUUGAACGCUGGCGGCAGGCCUAACACAUGCAAGUCGAGCGCGAAAGUUCUUCGGAACGAGUAGAGCGGCGGACGGGUGAGUAACGCGUGGGAAAUUGCCCAGUAGUGGGGGACAACAUUCGGAAACGGAUGCUAAUACCGCAUACGCCCUACGGGGGAAAGCAGGGGAUCUUCGGACCUUGUGCUAUUGGAUAUGCCCGCGUCGGAUUAGCUAGUUGGUGAGGUAAUGGCUCACCAAGGCGACGAUCCGUAGCUGGUCUGAGAGGAUGAUCAGCCACACUGGGACUGAGACACGGCCCAGACUCCUACGGGAGGCAGCAGUGGGGAAUAUUGGACAUAUGGGCGCAAGCCUGAUCCAGCCAUGCCGCGUGUGUGAAGAAGGCCUUAGGGUUGUAAAGCACUUUCAGCAGGGAGGAAGGCCUUAAAGUUAAU
rnacentral:rRNA from 1 species